rnacentral:tRNA from 1 species
CAGGCCUUGAUCCUGCAAAAAUUAAUUAACAACUAAACGUUCAAUCCAGAGAACUUUAGCCCACUUCUCCCGU